AUCUACAGGCUUAACACAUGCAAGUCGAGGGGCAGCAUGGUCUUAGCUUGCUAAGGCCGAUGGCGACCGGCGCACGGGUGAGUAACACGUAUCCAACCUGCCGUCUACUCUUGGACAGCCUUCUGAAAGGAAGAUUAAUACAAGAUGGCAUCAUGAGUCCGCAUGUUCACAUGAUUAAAGGUAUUCCGGUAGACGAUGGGGAUGCGUUCCAUUAGAUAGUAGGCGGGGUAACGGCCCACCUAGUCUUCGAUGGAUAGGGGUUCUGAGAGGAAGGUCCCCCACAUUGGAACUGAGACACGGUCCAAACUCCUACGGGAGGCAGCAGUGAGGAAUAUUGGUCAAUGGGCGAGAGCCUGAACCAGCCAAGUAGCGUGAAGGAUGACUGCCCUAUGGGUUGUAAACUUCUUUUAUAAAGGAAUAAAGUCGGGUAUGCAUACCCGUUUGCAUGUACUUUAUGAAUAAGGAUCGGCUAACUCCGUGCCAGCAGCCGCGGUAAUACGGAGGAUCCGAGCGUUAUCCGGAUUUAUUGGGUUUAAAGGGAGCGUAGAUGGAUGUUUAAGUCAGUUGUGAAAGUUCGCGGCUCAACCGUAAAAUUGCAGUUGAUACUGGAUAUCUUGAGUGCAGUUGAGGCAGGCGGAAUUCGUGGUGUAGCGGUGAAAUGCUUAGAUAUCACGAAGAACUCCGAUUGCGAAGGCAGCCUGCUAAGCUGCAACUGACAUUGAGGCUCGAAAGUGUGGGUAUCAAACAGGAUUAGAUACCCUGGUAGUCCACACGGUAAACGAUGAAUACUCGCUGUUUGCGAUAUACAGCAAGCGGCCAAGCGAAAGCGUUAAGUAUUCCACCUGGGGAGUACGCCGGCAACGGUGAAACUCAAAGGAAUUGACGGGGGCCCGCACAAGCGGAGGAACAUGUGGUUUAAUUCGAUGAUACGCGAGGAACCUUACCCGGGCUUAAAUUGCAGAUGAAUUACGGUGAAAGCCGUAAGCCGCAAGGCAUCUGUGAAGGUGCUGCAUGGUUGUCGUCAGCUCGUGCCGUGAGGUGUCGGCUUAAGUGCCAUAACGAGCGCAACCCUUGUUGUCAGUUACUAACAGGUUCCGCUGAGGACUCUGACAAGACUGCCAUCGUAAGAUGUGAGGAAGGUGGGGAUGACGUCAAAUCAGCACAGCCCUUACGUCCGGGGCUACACACGUGUUACAAUGGGGGGGUACAGAGGGCCGCUACCACGCGAGUGGAUGCCAAUCCCAAAAACCUCUCUCAGUUCGGACUGGAGUCUGCAACCCGACUCCACGAAGCUGGAUUCGCUAGUAAUCGCGCAUCAGCCACGGCGCGGUGAAUACGUUCCCGGGCCUUGUACACACCGCCCGUCAAGCCAUGGGAGCCGGGGGUACCUGAAGUGCGUAACCGCGAGGAGCGCCCUAGGGUAAAACUGGUGACUGGGGCUAA
rnacentral:rRNA from 1 species